GUUAGAGUUCUGGCUCAGAUUGAACGCUGGCGGGAUGCUUUACAUGCAAGUCCGGGCGCGGCAGCACGGACUUCGGUCUGGUGGUGGCGAACGGGUGAGUAUUAUCGGAACGUGCCUAGUAGCGGGGGAUAACUACGCGAAGGCGUAGCUAAUACCGCAUACGCCCUUCAGGGGAAAGCAGGGGACCCUUCCGGGCCUCACUGCUAAUGAAGCAGCCGAUAUCGGAUUAGCUAGUUGGUGUGGGUAACGGCUCUGGGGCGACGAUCCGUAGCUGGUUGAAAGGACGACCAGCCACACUAGGACUGAGACACGGCCCAGACUCCUACGGGAGGCAGCGGUGAGUGCUGGGACAAUGGGGAAACCCUGAUCCAGCCAUCCCGCGUGUGCGAUGAAGGCCUUCGGGUUGUAAUGGCUGCUUUUGGCGGGAAAGAAACGACGCAGGAUAUUACCCCGUGCAACUGACCAGUACCUGCAGAAUAAGCACCGGCUAACCUACGUGCCAGCGGCCGCGGUAAUACGUAGGGUGCAAGCGUUAAUCCGGAAUUCUUGGGCGUAAAGCGUGCGCAGGCGGUUCCGGAAAGAAAGAUGUGAAAUCCCAGAGCUUAACUUUGGAACUGCAUUUUUAACUACCGAGCUAGAGUGUGUCAGAGGAGGUGGAAGUGCGUGUAGCAGUGAAAUGUGCGUAGAUAUGCGGAGACACCGAUGGCGAAGGCAGCCUCCUGGGAUAACACUGACGCUCAUGCACGAAAGCAUUAAGGAGCAAACGGGAUUAGAUACCUGGUAGUCCACGCCCUAAACGAUAUCAACUAGCUGUUGGGGCCUUCGGGCCUUGGUAGCGCAACUAACAUGUGAAGUUGACCGCCUGGGAAGUACGGUCGCAUAAGAUUAAAACUCAAAGAAUUGACGGGGACCCGCACAAGCGGUGGAUGAUGUGGAUUAAUUCGAUGCAACGCGAAAAACCUUACCUACCCUUGACAUGUCUGGAAUCCCGAAGAAGUUUGAGAUUAUCGCAAGAGGAACCGGAACACGGGUGCUGCAUGGCUGUCGUCAGCUCGUGUCGUAGAGAUGUUGGGUUAAGUCCCGCAACGAGCGCAACCCUUGUCAUUAGUUGCUGCGAAAGGGCACCUCUAAUCGGGGACUGCCGGUGACAAACGGAAGGUGGGGAUGACGUCAAGUCCUCAUGGCCCUUAUGGUGGGCUUCACACGUCAUGCAAUGGUCGGGACAGAGGGUCGCCAGCCUUCCGCGAGGGGGAAUAAAUCCCGAAAACCCGAUCGUAGUCCGGAUCAUGAUCUGCAACUCGACUGCGUGAAGUCGGAAUCGCUGUCGCGGAUCAGCAUGUCGCCUUGUUGAAUACGUUCCCGGGUCUUGUACACACCGCCCGUCACACCAUGGGGUGGGUUUUACCAAGUAGUUAGCCUAACCGUAAGGAGGCGAUUACCUACGACGGAUUCAUGACUGAGGUGAAGUCACGUAACAAAGGUAG
rnacentral:rRNA from 1 species